rnacentral:ncRNA from 1 species
AACAAAUCGAUGAACGAGAAGAGUAUCUUACAAUCACCUACAGCGAGAUGACAUAGAGUGGAAGGUCAUCAGGAAGAUAUAAGAGAAACGCACUCGGGAGAGUCUGUUGGAAUUGAGUAUAACAGAACGUGAAUCUGCGUUAAUGAAGAGGUGGUUUGUAUGAUACAAGCAACUAGAGUGGUACCGCGUUUAUAUACGUCUCUGGA